GACGAACGCUGGCGGCGUGCUUAACACAUGCAAGUCGAACGAGAAUCUGCUGAAGGAGGAUUCGUCCAACGGAAGCAGAGGAAAGUGGCGGACGGGUGAGUAACGCGUGAGGAACCUGCCUUGAAGAGGGGGACAACAGUUGGAAACGACUGCUAAUACCGCAUGACGCAUAGAGGUCGCAUGAUCUUUAUGCCAAAGAUUUAUCGCUUCAAGAUGGCCUCGCGUCUGAUUAGCUAGUUGGCGGGGUAACGGCCCACCAAGGCGACGAUCGGUAGCCGGACUGAGAGGUUGAACGGCCACAUUGGGACUGAGACACGGCCCAGACUCCUACGGGAGGCAGCAGUGGGGAAUAUUGGGCAAUGGGCGCAAGCCUGACCCAGCAACGCCGCGUGAAGGAAGAAGGCUUUCGGGUUGUAAACUUCUUUUAAGAGGGACGAAAGGAAUGACGGUACCUCUUGAAUAAGCUCCGGCUAACUACGUG
rnacentral:rRNA from 1 species